rnacentral:rRNA from 1 species
GAUGAACGCUGGCGGCGUGCUUAACACAUGCAAGUCGAACGGAAAGGCUCCUGCUUGCAGGGGUACUCGAGUGGCGAACGGGUGAGUAACACGUGGGUGAUCUGCCCUGCACUUCGGGAUAAGCCUGGGAAACUGGGUCUAAUACCGGAUAGGACGAUGGUUUGGAUGCCAUUGUGGAAAGUUUUUCGGUGUGGGAUGAGCUCGCGGCCUAUCAGCUUGUUGGUGGGGUAAUGGCCUACCAAGGCGUCGACGGGUAGCCGGCCUGAGAGGGUGUACGGCCACAUUGGGACUGAGAUACGGCCCAGACUCCUACGGGAGGCAGCAGUGGGGAAUAUUGCACAAGGGGCGCAAGCCUGAUGCAGCGACGCCGCGUGGGGGAUGACGGCCUUCGGGUUGUAAACUCCUUUCGCUAGGGACGAAGCGCAAGGGACGGUACCGGGAGAAGAAGCACCGGCUAACUACGU